rnacentral:tRNA from 1 species
UGGCUUAGAUGGUAAAGCCUCUGCCUGCAAUGCAGAAGACCCGGGUUCAGUUCCUGG